rnacentral:lncRNA from 1 species
GGGGCAGUGUGACUGGAGCAGUGUGACUGGGGUUAGUGUGACAGGGGUUAGUGUGUCUGGGGCAGUGUGACUGGGGUUAUGUGACAGGGGUUAGUGUGACAGGGGUUAGUGUGACUGGGGCAGUGUGACUGGGGCAGUGUGUCUGGGGUAGUGUGACAGGGGUUAGUGUGACUGGGGCAGUGUGACUGGGGUUAGUGUGACUGUGGCAGUGUGUCUGGGGCAGUGUGACUGAGGCAGUGUGACUGGGGCAGUGUGACUGGGGCAGUGUGACAGGGGUUAGUGUGACUGGGGCAGUGUGUCUGGGGCAGUGUGACAGGGGUUAGUGUGACUGGGGUUAGUGUGACUGGGGCAGUGUGACAGGGGUUAGUGUGACUGGGGCAGUGUGACUGGGGUUAGUGUGACUGGGGCAGUGUGACUGGGGCAGUGUGACAGGGGUUAGUGUGACUGGGGCAGUGUGACUGGGGUUAGUGUGACUGGGGCAGUGUGUCUGGGGCAGUGUGACAGGGGUUAGUGUGACUGGGGUUAGUGUGACUGGGGCAGUGUGACAGGGGUUAGUCUGACUGGGGCAGUGUGACUGGGGCAGUGUGACUGGGGCAGUGUGACAGGGGCAGUCUGACUGGGGCAGUGUGACAAGGGUUAGUGUGUCUGGGGCAGUGUGUCUGGGGCAGUGUGACAGGGGCAGUGUGACAGGGGUUAGUGUGACUGGGGCAGUGUGACUGGGGUUAGUGUGUCUGGGGCAGUGUGACUGGGGCAGUGUGUCUGGGGCAGUGUGACAGGGGCAGUGUGACUGGGGUUAGUGUGACUGGGGCAGUGUGACUGGGGUUAGUGUGUCUGGGGCAGUGUGUCUGGGGCAGUGUGAC